ACCAUUGGCCAGGUUAAAAGCUGACCACUCACGAACCAUUGGCCAGGUUAAAAGCUGACCACUCACACACCAUUUGCCAGGUUAAAAGCUGACCACUCACGAACCAUUUGCCAGGUUAAAAGCUGACCACUCACACCAUUGGCCAGGUUAAAAGCUGACCACUCACACAAACCAUUUGCCAGGUUAAAAGCUGACCACUCACACGAAGAACCAUUUGCCAGAUUAAAAGCUGACCACUCACACGACGAACCAUUUGUCAGGUUAAAAGCUGACCACUCACACAAAGAACCAUUAGCAUGUUAAAAUCUGACAUAUGAACCUCAUGCAUGGUCGAACUCUGACCAGGCGCACACAUGUGUGAAGGAAAUACGAAUUUAAGACUUUAUUAACAAGCAGUAUAGACAAACAUUAUUUACAUUUAGGACAUUUGGCAUUCAACAAAGGUGUCCUUCUCC
ensembl:lncRNA